UCAAAAAAGGAACAAUUGAAAAAUUAUUUGUAUAUAAAUAUAUAUAAUUUGGCUUCAGUAUUUAAUAUAUAAAUUUCCUGUUUGUUUCAGAGGGCUGAACAAAUUCAGGACAAACUAUUCCCUUUUGUAACGGAUGUACAUAAUUCUAUGACGUCACAGCUGUGUCUAAACAUGUGCUACAGGUAGAGAAGAUGCAACUUGAUACCCUAAGCCUUUCCAAUGCUAUAAUUUAUGGCUUAUAAGCCUAUACAGUACAAGACAUUUCAUUGGUAAGUAUGUCUUUGAUUAUACUUAAAACACAGAAACAAGUGAUUCAAGUGAUUAAAAAAAACACAUUUAAAUCCCUGAUUAAGUAGAUAUAUUUCUAGAUAAACUUGAAGAUAACUCUUUAAACAUGUUAUCUGUAUUAUAAAUAUAAAUAAAACCUAAACUUAAAAGGAACUGAAGAUAAGAAUGAGAAUUUCUGACUUAAAAACACAUAUAUGUGAGUUAGUUUGAUAUCCUAUUAGUUCUAUAACUGUACAGGUGUUAACGUCAUAUAUUUGAGCUGUCGAAUCAGAUGGCUGUAAAGAGGAUUUUUAUUACUAUACGCUAUAUAGACUUUGGACCAUGUAUACAUCUACCUGUCGCUUCAAACUCUUAACAGUUCGGUUCGAUUAGGUUCAUUCAAAUGAUAGUUCUUUACCAUAUGGAGACAACACUGUUAUAUAGUUUUAGACUAUUUUUUUUUUACUCUUUUUUGGUCAACUCUCCCACUGUGAUAAGGGAGGUGUAGCCUGUCUGGUAGAGUAUCCAGGAUACUCUUUUCGAAUCAGGCUAGCAUAAUUCCUGCUUUCUCUAUUCUAGUUUAUUAUUUUUCAUUCAGUCGUUUCCCGUGAGUAAACAUAGUGUCAUCCAUCCUGGAUGUUGUGUUAUUUUAUACGAAAAAAAAAGUUUGUUAAGGUAAGUUUAUAAUAUUUUAAAUUAUAUCUUAAAAACCGAUUUACAUAAAACUAGGAUAACCCACGUUUAAUACAGUUUAGAGAGGAGGUUUAGUAUUGAUAAUUAUUUCAGUGUUAGGAUGAUGAAAUGUCGUCUUCAAAAUACUAUUCAGAACUCUAAGAUAGCAUGAAGUAUUUUAGUAAUUGAAUAUGAAAAUGGUAACAAUAGAACAUCUGUUAUUUAACCUCACUUAUGUGGACUUUUAUCGAAUACAACAGUUAAGACGACUGUACAUUUUAUACAUUCUGAAGUAAUUUAGCUGUAAAAAUAUUUAUUAUAUAUCCUUAUUAAUUAUUUAUUAGUAUAUCCAAUUGUAUA